rnacentral:rRNA from 1 species
GGCUUAGCUGUCUCCUUUUUCUAGCCAAUGAAAUUGAUCUUUCCGUGCAGAAGCGGGGAUAACAACAUAAGACGAGAAGACCCUAUGGAGCUUUAGACACUAAGACAGAUCACGUCAAACACCCCAGCUUAAUGGGCCGAACUAAGUGAGCCCUGUCCUAAUGUCUUUGGUUGGGGCGACCCUGGGGAGACAAAUAACCCCCAUGUGGAAUGGAAACACCAUAUUUCCAGAACUAAGAGCUAACCGCUCUAAGGAGCAGAAUUUCUGACCAUUUUAGAUCCGGCUACUGCCGAUCAGCGGACCGAGUUA